CUUCUACAUUCUGGAAUUAGCCCCACAUAAAAUAUCUGUACUCUACAUUCCAAUAUUUCCAUAAAAUUUGGGAUCCUCUUAUUUGUAAUUAUCGCUAUUCUAUACGUACCAGAUUUUAUCAGGGGGUAGUAUUAAACGUAUGCGCUAUCACGUUUAGAACUUUUCCAUAAUUACCAAAAACUCUUCGUAAUAGAGCCUCAUCUACCUCACGAGGAACAUAUUUUAACGUCAAGGUAAGUACCUCCUUUUCCCUACUUUGGAUUUCAUAUUCUUUUCCAUCAUACUCAAUUACUUUUCCCAUUAGACUUUCUUUUGCUUUUACAGAACUUAGCCCUAUCUCUAUAAUUCCAUUUGGGCGAAAACACACCUGCUCUACUGCUCCUUCUUUUAGCUUUGCUGUUAUUUCCUUCACUAAAUCUGCCACUAUCACUUUUUCCUUCAUCACAAUCCUGACCAAUUUAUCUUUUCAGCUGAAGUCUCCUCAGCAUUCAUCCCCUCUGUCUCUGGCAAGGUCGGAUUCAACGCCGAACUUCCUCGGAGGGUGACUCCUAACACACUCUUCGGCUUUUGAACAUCUCCAAUUGUUUCUAAGUCAAUAGGAACUUCUUGACUUGUCCCCGGACCAGGAUCAUAGUCAAACACCGGAUCCAUUCAAUCAGAACUUCACCAGGCAAGAGGCCAACUGCCAGCACCAACUGGUAUACAAGUGUAAACAAAAACAUCAAAGUAAAUAUAAAACGACUUUGGAAACCCAGGACCAUGCAGACUUAGCAAUAUUACAUUCAAAAAAGAUAUGAAUAAUGGACUCAACACCACCACAUCUAGCGCAACGUUUAUCCUUCACUCUAUGAUACAGACGUUGUAUUCCUUUAAGUACCUCUUCACUCAACGAUUCAUCAGAUUGCAGAUCUCUGAAUAGCUUCUUCGUUUCCUGUUCCAUCCUCCGUCGAUAAACCUUGUGUCACCUCCAUUGACUCGUCUGGAUCAGUUGCUGCCGCAUCGAGACGUCGACGGGAAUGUUUGUUGGCCGACCCAUCGUGGAUGGAAAGGGAUCUACCCUUACCACCUAGGGCCUCCACAGAAGCAUCACAGCUCGUUGAAAGGGACAGCUCCCCCAUCUAACUGCCUCAGCACUCAGCCAAAGUGUUAGAAAAGUCAGUAGUGAAGUCAGUAAAACCAAAAAACAAACUCACCAAAAAAGGCUGUAAACUGUUAAAACGUCCAAAAAGGGUAACAAAAUCCAGGUAUAAAACUUUUAAACUCCACAAAAAAUUUCAAAGUCCAAACUCAGCAAAAGUCGGCAAAAACAGCAAAAAUCUCAAAACUAUGAAAAAAGUUUUGUUAACAAGAACGAGUCCUUGAUCUGAGCCAUAAGGCUGAGAAGCGAUAAAAAAACACAUCAAAGGUGCCGACGGGCCAAGUGUGGAGACAUACAAUUGUGUCCAGGUUACGUCAUUCGGCAAACAUCCAAUAAUACACAUGAAAGAACGUCAGGAAACGAUAAGUGACAAUGCAAAAGGCUACAGGAAUUGUCA
rnacentral:lncRNA from 1 species